UGCAUGCAACAAGGGAGUCUAUAAGAGUACAAGCAAAUAAAAUGGGCUUAAGGCCUAACCCAACAAAAAAACAAAAGGAAAACAAAAAGAAAAUAAAAAGAAAAUAAAAGAAAGGAAAUAAUAAAACAAACCAACAAAAAUAAAAAAUGGGGCGUAUGAAUGAAAUGAUUGGCCUAAAGGCUAGAAGGCACAAGGCGCUGGGUCCAAGUCCAAGUCUAAGUCCAAGGAGUCAAAAUUGACUCUAUUUUGACGCGUCUGAUCAGAAUACCAGGGAACUCCUCAUGACCCAAUGCAUAAAAGAGAGGGUGCAUGGCAUCAAGGGUGAGGCUCCUUGUACAGGGUCUCCUAGUCAAUAGAUGAAGUCAACACAUCCAAUGGAUAACCACUUGGCUCCUUAAGGGCGAUUGAUAGAUAUAGACAAAAGAGGGUGAGGAUUACGAGCUCCUAAUUUCAAUAUCCUCUUUCUCUCUCUUUGGACCAAUCCCUCUCUACUCUCUCCUCCCACUAACAUAAACCGAACCUAGUUUCUAAACAAAAUAGGAUCAAAAGUUUGUAUCUGUGAAGAACACGGGAUGAACAAUAUGAAUGUUCAUCCCUAAAUUUUCUAGAU
rnacentral:lncRNA from 1 species